rnacentral:rRNA from 1 species
AUUGAACGCUGGCGGCAGGCCUAACACAUGCAAGUCGAACGAGUGGCGGACGGGUGAGUAAUGUCUGGGAAACUGCCUGAUGGAGGGGGAUAACUACUGGAAACGGUAGCUAAUACCGCAUACCAUCGGAUGUGCCAAGAUGGGAUUGGCUAGUUGGUGGGGUAACGGCUCCCCAAGGCGACGAUCCCUAGCUGGUCUGAGAGGAUGACCACCCACACUGGAACUGGGACACGGUCCAGCCUCCGACGGGAGGCAGCAGUGGGGAAUAUUGCACAAUGGGCGCAAGCCUGAGGCAGCCAUGCCGCGUGUAUGAAGAAGGCCUUCGGGUUGUAAAGUACUUUCAGCGGGGAGGCGUUACCCGCAGAAGAAGCACCGGCUAACUCCGUGCCAGCCGCCGCGGUAAUUC